UCGUCUUGGGACCGUUAGAGUUCGGGAUGCGGCACCGAGUGCGCGACUGCAAACUCGGUGCCGCAUCCCGAACAAAACAAAAACAGAAGCCGGUUCCGCACGAGACGUGUGUAGAUGUUGCACAAUCCGAUUCAGCUCUCUGCAACCUUGCCUCGCCGCCCGGGGUCCAACACCACCACCACCACCCCUGCCCGUCCCGUUACCUAUGGCAGCGACUGAACAUGUUCACCCUUUACACUUGAGGCCCUUGGAGCUCAGGAGCGGCUCGUCCGGCUUCCAGCUGCGCACUUACCAUCUUCAUUCCAGGCCAGGGCAAUAAGAAAAAAGCGCAUGUAUAAGCUUUGGAGUGAGGCGCACUCGGUGCUUAAAAGAUCCGGUGAUGUGUCCCAUUCAUCGAGAGAGGAAGACUGCCUAUGGAGCACAUGUGGCUGCAGCUGCACAGUACUAAUAGCAAGAAAUAAGCAUAUUCACACUUCACCUAAAUGACGGGAUGUCGGCUGUAUGAGCCUGAUUCAGUCAGCCUUCUCCUUCCCUUUGGCCGUCUAUGUCGUAAGUCGCGGGGUUCAUGGCUCAGAGCCGCCCCAAGACAUGACUGGCGUAAAGAAGAGAAGCAUUCCUUUCCAACUUUUCAGAAUCUGACCUUUCUUUAACGCUGACACAAUGUUUUGGCUGUGCACUUCCCCACAUCACAUUUUCGUGCAACCUUUGUGAUAAAAUUGGUUCUGAGGGACGUGUAGGAAUGUUGCCAUGUUCCCCAGAGGUUAGCAAUUACUUUGAUAAGUACAAUAUUAUAAAAAAUAACAGAAAUUAUAACACAUUUGACCCAAGUUGUAUCGUGUUUUAUCUCUAUGUUCACUAAAAAAUACAGAAUACCUCCACAAUAUCUCUCCUCGGAAUCCCCAUGCUGGUACAAUUUCCCAAAUUUUUGACAAGUCAUAAAUCUAUUUCCUCUUCCUCCAUCUUGACCCACUUGCCGGCUCCCCCCUGGUCCAUCAUGGCGGCCUGUGAAGCAGUGCGGCUUGAAUGCGCGUCAAGAGCACGUUGGAAUGUUUAUGCUUGAGCUCAAGGUUGUCUUCAAUCAUACACAGAGCUGUUUGACAGCUCGCAGCGCCGCCUGGCCUCUGUUUACCUCACCUAAUUUCCGACUGGCUUUGUGUGCAUCAAGCGGCAACACAGCGAGAUGGGAGCGAAAUCAUCAUGAUUUGAUACAGAAAAUGCUAGUGUUUGACCGGUUUGAACAGUAACAGUAAACUCUCUAAAGAAAAGAAAAAAAGCAGCUCCAGUUCAUUUAAAAAACAUGUUUGAAAUAGUUCAAGUGGAUAUAGAACUUCUUGUGGUUCUAUGAUAUAGUAAGAUGAGUUUGCACGGUAUUCAAACAAUAAAAGGGUUUAAUCUGU